rnacentral:rRNA from 1 species
CUGUGUGACUGCGUACCUUUUGUAUAAUGGGUCAGCGACUUAUAUUCUGUAGCAAGGUUAACCGAAUAGGGGAGCCGAAGGGAAACCGAGUCUUAACGGGCGUUAAGUUGCAGGGUAUAGACCCGAAACCCGGUGAUCUAGCCAUGGGCAGGUUGAAGGUUGGGUAACACUAACUGGAGGACCGAACCGACUAAUGUUGAAAAAUUAGCGGAUGACUUGUGGCUGGGGGUGAAAGGCCAAUCAAACCGGGAGAUAGCUGGUUCUCCCCGAAAGCUAUUUAGGUAGCGCCUCGUGAAUUCAUCUCCGGGGGUAGAGCACUGUUUCGGCAAGGGGGUCAUCCCGACUUACCAACCCGAUGCAAACUGCGAAUACCGGAGAAUGUUAUCACGGGAGACACACGGCGGGUGCUAACGUCCGUCGUGAAGAGGGAAACAACCCAGACCGCCAGCUAAGGUCCCAAAGUCAUGGUUAAGUGGGAAACGAUGUGGGAAGGCCCAGACAGCCAGGAUGUUGGCUUAGAAGCAGCCAUCAUUUAAAGAAAGCGUAAUAGCUCACUGGUCGAGUCGGCCUGCGCGGAAGAUGUAACGGGGCUAAACCAUGCACCGAAGCUGCGGCAGCGACACUGUGUGUUGUUGGGUAGGGGAGCGUUCUGUAAGCCUGUGAAGGUGUCUGUGAGGAUGCUGGAGGUAUCAGAAGUGCGAAUGCUGACAUAAGUAACGAUAAAGCGGGUGAAAAGCCCGCUCGCCGGAAGACCAAGGGUUCCUGUCCAACGUUAAUCGGGGCAGGGUGAGUCGACCCCUAAGGCGAGGCCGAAAGGCGUAGUCGAUGGGAAACAGGUUAAUAUUCCUGUACUUGGUGUUACUGCGAAGGGGGGACGGAGAAGGCUAUGUUGGCCGGGCGACGGUUGUCCCGGUUUAAGCGUGUAGGCUGGUUUUCCAGGCAAAUCCGGAAAAUCAAGGCUGAGGCGUGAUGACGAGGCACUACGGUGCUGAAGCAACAAAUGCCCUGCUUCCAGGAAAAGCCUCUAAGCAUCAGGUAACAUCAAAUCGUACCCCAAACCGACACAGGUGGUCAGGUAGAGAAUACCAAGGCGCUUGAGAGAACUCGGGUGAAGGAACUAGGCAAAAUGGUGCCGUAACUUCGGGAGAAGGCACGCUGAUAUGUAGGUGAAGUCCCUCGCGGAUGGAGCUGAAAUCAGUCGAAGAUACCAGCUGGCUGCAACUGUUUAUUAAAAACACAGCACUGUGCAAACACGAAAGUGGACGUAUACGGUGUGACGCCUGCCCGGUGCCGGAAGGUUAAUUGAUGGGGUCAGCGCAAGCGAAGCUCUUGAUCGAAGCCCCGGUAAACGGCGGCCGUAACUAUAACGGUCCUAAGGUAGCGAAAUUCCUUGUCGGGUAAGUUCCGACCUGCACGAAUGGCGUAAUGAUGGCCAGGCUGUCUCCACCCGAGACUCAGUGAAAUUGAACUCGCUGUGAAGAUGCAGUGUACCCGCGGCAAGACGGAAAGACCCCGUGAACCUUUACUAUAGCUUGACACUGAACAUUGAGCCUUGAUGUGUAGGAUAGGUGGGAGGCUUUGAAGUGUGGACGCCAGUCUGCAUGGAGCCGACCUUGAAAUACCACCCUUUAAUGUUUGAUGUUCUAACGUGGACCCGUGAUCCGGGUUGCGGACAGUGUCUGGUGGGUAGUUUGACUGGGGCGGUCUCCUCCUAAAGAGUAACGGAGGAGCACGAAGGUUGGCUAAUCCUGGUCGGACAUCAGGAGGUUAGUGCAAUGGCAUAAGCCAGCUUGACUGCGAGCGUGACGGCGCGAGCAGGUGCGAAAGCAGGUCAUAGUGAUCCGGUGGUUCUGAAUGGAAGGGCCAUCGCUCAACGGAUAAAAGGUACUCCGGGGAUAACAGGCUGAUACCGCCCAAGAGUUCAUAUCGACGGCGGUGUUUGGCACCUCGAUGUCGGCUCAUCACAUCCUGGGGCUGAAGUAGGUCCCAAGGGUAUGGCUGUUCGCCAUUUAAAGUGGUACGCGAGCUGGGUUUAGAACGUCGUGAGACAGUUCGGUCCCUAUCUGCCGUGGGCGCUGGAGAACUGAGGGGGGCUGCUCCUAGUACGAGAGGACCGGAGUGGACGCAUCACUGGUGUUCGGGUUGUCAUGCCAAUGGCACUGCCCGGUAGCUAAAUGCGGAAGAGAUAAGUGCUGAAAGCAUCUAAGCACGAAACUUGCCCCGAGAUGAGUUCUCCCUGACCCUUUAAGGGUCCUGAAGGAACGUUGAAGACGACGACGUUGAUAGGCCGGGUGUGUAAGCGCAGCGAUGCGUUGAGCUAACCGGUACUAAUGAACCGUGAGGCUUAACCUU